rnacentral:rRNA from 1 species
UGUAAGCGUAUACCAAAGUUGUUGCAGUUAAAACGCUCGUAGUCGGAAUUUGGCAGUUCCGGAUGUGUGCACGUCGUGUGCGCACUUCGCGGGGAUUGCUUUUGUGGUCUUGCGUAGGAUGAGGCACUUUUAUUAGUGAACGUCCUCACGCAACCACUUUUUACUGUGAGAAAAUCAGAGUGCUCAAAGCAGGCAUUUGCCGUGAAUGUAUUAGCAUGGAAUAAUAGAAUAGGACUUGGUUCUAUUUUGUUGGUUUGUUGGGACUGAGUAAUGAUUAAGAGGGACAGUUGGGGGCAUUUGUAUUUCGGUGCUAGAGGUGAAAUUCAUAGAUUACCGAAAGACAAACUGCUGCGAAAGCGUCUGCCAAGGAUGUUUUCAUUGA